AAGUCGUAACAAGGUUUCCGUAGGUGAACCUGCGGAAGGAUCAUUACAGAGUUCCUGCCCCCUGGGUAGAUCUCCACCCUUGUGUAUCUUACACUGUUGCUUUGGCAGGCCGCCCUCGGGCCACCGGCGUCAGCUGGUGAGCGCCUGCCAGAGAACCCACGAACCCAUAUUACCAGCGUCGUCGGAGUCUAAAUGUAAUCAUUUAAAACUUUCAACAACGGAUCUCUUGGUUCUG
rnacentral:misc_RNA from 1 species